rnacentral:rRNA from 1 species
UACAGAGAGGGCAAGCGUUGUUCGGAUUCACUGGGCAUAAAGCGCACGUAGGCGGGCCGGAAAGUCGGAUGUGAAAUCCCGGAGCUCAACUCCGGAACUGCUUCCGAUACUUCCGGUCUAGAGGAUGAGAGGGGAGAGUGGAACUUCUGGUGGAGCGGUGAAAUGCGUAGAUAUCAGAAGGAACACCGGUGGCGAAAGCGACUCUCUGGCUCAUUUCUGACGCUCAGGUGCGAAAGCUAGGGUAGCAAACGGG